rnacentral:rRNA from 1 species
GACGUAGGGGGCCAGCGUUGUUCGGAAUUACUGGGUGUAAAGGGUUCGUAGGCGGUGCGGCAAGUCGGGAGUGAAAUCUCUGGGCUUAACCCAGAGGCUGCUUCCGAAACUGCUGUGCUUGAGUGUGGGAGAGGCGCGUGGAAUCGCAGGUGUAGCGGUGAAAUGCGUAGAUAUCUGCAGGAACACCCGUGGCGAAAGCGGCGCGCUGGACCACUACUGACGCUGAGGAACGAAAGCUAGGGGAGCAAACAGG